rnacentral:rRNA from 1 species
UACAGAGGGGGCAAGCGUUGUUCGGAAUUACUGGGCGUAAAGGGCGCGUAGGCGGCCUGCUAAGUCGAACGUGAAAUCCCUGGGCUCAACCCAGGAACUGCGUCCGAUACUGGUUGGCUUGAAUUCGGGAGAGGGAUGCAGAAUUCCAGGUGUAGCGGUGAAAUGCGUAGAUAUCUGGAGGAAUACCGGUGGCGAAGGCGGCAUCCUGGACCGACAUUGACGCUGAACGGCGAAAGCUAGGGGAGCAAACGGG